rnacentral:rRNA from 1 species
CCCUUAGAUGUUCUGGGCUGCACGCGCGCUACACUGAAGCGUUCAACGAGUAUUCACCUUGCCCGGGAGGGUUGGGUAAUCUUUUGAAAACGCUUCGUGAUGGGGAUAGAUUAUUGCAAUUAUUAAUCUUCAACGAGGAAUUCCUAGUAAGCGCGAGUCAUCAGCUCGUGCUGAUUACGUCCCUGCCCUUUGUACACACCGCCCGUCGCUCCUACCGAUGGAGUGAUCCGGUGAAUAAUUCGGACUGCAGCACUGCUUGGUCUCCAGGCUUUGCAGCGGAAAGUUUAGUGAACCUUAUCACUUAGAGGAAGGAGAAGUCGUAACA